CCUACGGGAGGCAGCAGUAGGGAAUAUUGCUCAAUGGGAGAAAUCCUGAAGCAGCAACGCCGCGUGGAGGAUGAAGGCUCUAGGAUUGUAAACUCCCUUUGUUAGGGGAGAUUAUGCCGGUAUCUAACGCAUAAGCACCGUCUAACUCCGUGACAGCAGCCCCAGUAAUACGCCGGGUGCAAGCGUUACUCGGAAUCACUGGGCGUAAAGAGUGCGUAGGCGGGGUAAUAAGUCAGAUGUGAAAUCCUGUGGAGUAACGACAGAACUGCAGUUGAAACUGUUACUCUGGAGUGUGGGAGAGGUAGGUGGAAUGCGUGGUGUAGGGGUAAAAUCCGUAGAGAUCAAGAGGAACACUCAUUGCGGAGGCGACCUGCUGGAGCCUGACUGACGCUGAUGCACGAAAGCGUGGGGAGCGAACAGGAUUAGAUACCCUAGUAGUC
rnacentral:rRNA from 1 species